rnacentral:rRNA from 1 species
UACGUAGGUGGCAAGCGUUGUCCGGAUUUACUGGGCGUAAAGAGCGCGCAGGCGGUCGUGCAAGUCGCGUGUGAAAGCCCCCGGCUCAACUGGGGAGGGUCACGCGAUACUGUUCGACUCGAAGGCAGGAGAGGGAAGCGGAAUUCCCGGUGUAGUGGUGAAAUGCGUAGAUAUCGGGAGGAACACCAGUGGCGAAGGCGGCUUCCUGGCCUGUUCCUGACGCUGAGGCGCGAAAGCUAGGGUAGCAAACGGG